CAGCAGCCACGGUAAUACAGAGGAUGCAAGCGUUAUCCGGAAUGAUUGGGCGUAAAGCGUCUGUAGGUGGCUAUUUAAGUCAGCGGUGAAAGACUCCGGCUCAACCGGAGCAGUGCCAUUGAUACUGGAUAGCUUGAGUGUUGGAGGGGUACAUGGAAUUGAUGGUGUAGCGGUGAAAUGCGUAGAGAUGUGGAGGAACACCAGUGGCGAAGGCGACUCUCUGGUCUGUAACUGACGCUGAGGAGCGAAAGCGUGGGGAGCAAACAGGAUUAGAUACCCCUGUAGUCCCUGUCUCUUAUAC
rnacentral:rRNA from 1 species